AGCGAACGUUAGCGGCGGGCCUAACACAUGCAAGUCGAGCGAGAAAGUGGCUUCGGCCAUCAGUAAAGCGGCGGACGGGUGAGUAACACGUAGGUAAUCUUCCCUUGAGCGGGGGACAACGAGCCGAAAGGCUCGCUAAUACCGCAUAAGUUUCCAGAGACUCUGGUCUUUGGAAGGAAAGCUAGGCCGCAAGGUCCGGCACUCGAGGAGGAGCCUGCGUCGCAUCAGCUAGNGGUGGGGGUAAUGGCCUACCAAGGCGAAGACGCGUAGCUGGUCUGAGAGGAUGAUCAGCCACACUGGGACUGAGACACGGCCCAGACUCCUACGGGAGGCAGCAGUGGGGAAUAUUGGACAAUGGGCGCAAGCCUGAUCCAGCCACGCCGCGUGAGUGAUGAAGGCCUUCGGUCGUAAG
rnacentral:rRNA from 1 species